UCUCAAGGUUGACCUCGGAUCAGGUAGGAAUACCCGCUGAACUUAAGCAUAUCAAUAAGCGGAGGAAAAGAAACCAACAGGGAUUGCCCCAGUAACGGCGAGUGAAGCGGCAACAGCUCAAAUUUGAAAUCUGGCGCAAGCCCGAGUUGUAAUUUGCAGAGGAUGCUUUUGGUGCGGUGCCUUCUGAGUUCCCUGGAACGGGACGCCGGAGAGGGUGAGAGCCCCGUACAGUUGGACACCAAGCCUUUGUAAAGCUCCUUCGACGAGUCGAGUAGUUUGGGAAUGCUGCUCAAAAUGGGAGGUAAAUGCCUUCUAAAGCUAAAUACCGGCCAGAGACCGAUAGCGCACAAGUAGAGUGAUCGAAAGAUGAAAAGCACUUUGAAAAGAGGGUUAAAAAGUACGUGAAAUUGUUGAAAGGGAAGCGCUCGUGACCAGACUUGCGCCCGGCGGAUCAUCCGGCCUUCUGGCCGGUGCACUCCGCCGGGCUCAGGCCAGCAUCGGUUCUUCCGGGGGGACAAAAGCGGUGGGAACGUAGCUCCUCCGGGAGUGUUAUAGCCCGCCGCAGAAUACCCCCGGGGGGACCGAGGACCGCGCUUCGGCAAGGAUGCUGGCGUAAUGGUCACCAGCGACCCGUCUUGAAACACGGACCAAGGAGUCAAGCAUUAGGGCGAGUGUUUGGGUGUCAAACCCGCACGCGAAAUGAAAGUGAACGCAGGUGAGAGCUUCGGCGCAUCAUCGACCGAUCCUGAUGUUUUCGGAUGGAUUUGAGUAAGAGCCUUGCCGCUUGGACCCGAAAGAUGGUGAACUAUGCUUGGAUAGGGUGAAGCCAGAGGAAACUCUGGUGGAGGCUCGCAGCGGUUCUGACGUGCAAAUCGAUCGUCAAAUCUGAGCAUGGGGGCGAAAGACUAAUCGAACCAU
rnacentral:rRNA from 1 species